rnacentral:misc_RNA from 1 species
UUUCCGUAGGUGAACCUGCGGAAGGAUCAUUACCGAGUUAGGGUCUUCUAGGCCCGAUCUCCAACCCUGUGUAUAUAUAACUUCGUUGCUUUGACAGGCCUGUCUUUGACCAGACUGCCGGGGGUCCCCUGGACCGCUGGAGAGUGCCUGUCAGUAGCCCCCAUUUUAAAUUCUUGAAUAAUCGUGACCUCUGAGUUGAGACAAGAAAUAGUUAAAAACUUUCAACAACGGAUCUCUUGGUUCUGGCAUCGAUGAAGAACGCAGC